rfam:Ostreococcus lucimarinus CCE9901 chromosome 13, complete sequence.
UCUUCCUUAACUCAGCUGGUAGAGUGUCAGACUGUUAGGAAAAAGUCUCCGUCGAAUAUGACGGCUGCUCCGAUAGAGAUCUGGAAGCCGCGGGAUCGAAACCCGCAGGAAGAG